UGGGCCUUUCCUACAUAUUUCCUGAUGACCCCCUACAGAAAUAGACAAACACCAAAACUCAUAGAAUUCUGUCACAAAGAACCCUAAGUCUAGGUGUUAGCUGCAUUUGGAUCCUUUUCUUUAUUUAUUUGAUGACUAAAUUUGAUACUUAAGGACCGUCAACAAACUCUCCCAAGCUUACCUCUUGGUCCUCCUUGAGCAAGGAUGGACUCAAGAGUUUCUAUAGUGGUUUCAUGCCUUAAAGGUACACAUGCACUCAAACAAGAUCUCAUCUCUGGGUUAGGAUAAAUUGUUAAGAUUUAAACUUACUCAUAUUACCUUCCACCAUGGGGCUUGUAACCAUCACUUGUGUAUUGAGUAGUUAAAGGAUAGAACAAUCAAGUCAAGCACCAUGUCUCUUGCUCUUGAUCAACUAUAGCUCUGGAGUUUUUUGCAGAUUUUCAAAUAAAACUAAGAGAUUCCUUGUAUGACUCUCUCUAGUCUCUCUUUUGUGGUAUUUCUGGAUCCUUACCAAGGCAGUAAUGGUGUAUGCCUUCUCUCAAAGUUUGUGGUAUUUUUGGUAUGAGGCAUAGUGACAUUGCCUUCUCUCUCACCCUACACUAAUAAGGUUUUGAUAUCUAGAGCUCAUAGGUGGGAGACAGCUAAUACAUACUUAGAGCAUCUCCAACAACUUGGUAAAAUUCACUUGUCAAAUUUUGAGUUAUAGCAAGUGGCUAAUUUGUUUAGCAAAAGAAAAAAGGAUGUGUCUCCAAUAAGUUGCUAUUCUCACUUGGUAAAAAUAGAGGAUGACAGAUGGGACCCACUCACUUGGUAAAAGAAUAUGUGUCUCGCGCUCGGGAUAGCAACUUGGGAUAGCAACUUGACAAAUCUCGGCAGUAGAAAACUCUGGAUAGCAACUUGGAAAAUUUAGCAAGUUGAGAUAAGGAGUUGUUGGAGGAGGAUUUUUAUGCUUUUAACAAAUUUGGUAGGAUAGCAUGUUGAAAUACCAAGUUGUUGGAGAUGCUCUUACAAGACAUUUAUUGCAUAGUCAAACCAUGGAUCCAGAGAAACAAGUCAAUAAGUCAAAUCAAGAUGUGCAUGUGUGGCGAAUGAAUGGUGAUAAUGGUAAAAAUAAUGGUGAAAGUCUAAUUCUACUUUUGCUCUUUUGAGGGGAUACAUACCUUUCUUGCACUUUGAAGCUUUUUGAGGAGAAUGAGAUGCUCUAUAUUUUUUUGUUUUCUCUCAGGUAGGUUUCUUGUACCCCUAAUUCUACUGUCGGACACUUGUCCAUUUUUACCUCUCGUCUCACUUUUUCUUUUCUUCGAGGUUUCGGGCACUUUCCCCUUUUUAUUUCCUUGCAUUUUUCCUUUUUCUUCUCUUUUUUUAGAGCACUCACCCUCCUAGAAUAAUGUAGCAAGUGGUAGUAACCAAAAUAUCUCGAGCAUUUAUUUCACAGGGAAAAACGGGAAUGAGAUAAUGUUUUUGGCUAUUCUCUCCCAGAUAGGAGUAGAAUAAUUUUAGAUGAAUCUGGAGAUGGAAUUGAGUGGAUGUAUGUGGAUGCGUACUUCCGGAGUAGAAGUAGCAUGUAUGAGUGAACCUGCAAGUGAAUCUUGAUUUUAACCGCAUGACAAGCUUCUAAGGGUCUACACAGCUUGACCACACUCAAAGCUCAUAAGUAGUAAAAAGUAAAGAUAUGGUUCAUAGUCUAAUAAGCAUGUAUAUAUGGCUGUGGUAGGAUUUUAAACUCUCAUCAUACAGGAACUCCUCAUGCAACAUUUUAAAAAAUUUCAAAGAUAGAAUUCCCCAGAAUUCUAGCAUCUCUAGGAACAGAUAAACAACAGCUCAACCUUCCCAUAUCGUAUCCGUUAACGACUUAGACUUUAGAUAAAGUACUCUACCCAUAAGUUCAGGUUUAGAGCAAAUCUUAAUUCAUAAUAUUCAUGCCUAAACUUGAGAGAGAAUUCAAUUUUGAGAACUAGUCAUGGCAGAGCAACUAUUCAUCAUUUCCAUGUGAGAGCUUAUCAUGAGGGUUCAUAGCAAACUUUAUUUAUUUAUUUAUUUAGCAAACUAAGCAAAGAUAUAUAUAUAAGCACAAAAUAUUUAUUUGGGUUUUUUAUCAUUAUGCAUCUUUUUAUUAUUUGAGUAAAGUAUAAACGCGAGUAGAAACACUUAGCUGGAUAAAUGGGGGUGCUCUCCCCUAAGCUGGAUUUUGACGUAAUUUCUUCUGAUGUAGCUAGCAGGUGGCGGAGGUGUAUUUGAAUAUCGGCAGCACCCUGACAGCGAUUAGGAUGUCCUCCAUCUGCUAGUCUUCUUUGAUCCUUGAAUUCUGUGGAGCUCAAAUAGACAACAAAGCUUUGUGAAACUGGUUAAGUGUUAGCAUAAAAUCUCUUACCCGUUAUCUUGUUGAGCUUCCUCUAAUAAAUAUUACUCUCUUUGGUUGGAUUAUAAAUUUAUUUUUAUAUUUUCAUUUUUAUAGGACAGGAAUAUUUUUAUUUUUACACCACCACAGUGAAUGUACUUAUGGGUUUUAUGUCAUGAGCAUACUCACAUGGGGCUUACUGUUUUUAACAUUUUUAAUUUCUUUUCGAGAUAGCAUGAUUAACUAACAAGCUAUUUAAGAAAAGUAAAUAAUUUAAGGAAAAAGGGAAUGCAGAAAGGAUAAAUAUGGUUAACUACCGAUUUUAUCUUUCGGCGAGGGUUCAAUGUUUUAAGUCUUCUGAACAAGACUUCUCACCAUGUUCAUUCUUUAGGUGCGUCAUUUGAUUCAGGUGUGGACCUUGACGUCUGCACCUCUUGAUACGGUGUCACCCAUGUUCUUCGUUUGCCCAAUAGUUCGAAGUGCGGCGUUGGCAGCAUCCUACUCAGUGUGUUUGUGCUCGUAGAUCCAGGUCCUUCACUUGGUGGAGUCUGGGAGUUGUAAAACUCCUCCAUGUUUUGCUCGAAGUGUACCUGUUCAUAGAGACAAGGCAGAGAUGAAGUGCAUGGGCCCUGUUGGUGGAAAACACCAACAGAACCAAAAGUGUAUUUGUUCUUCUCUAACCUUAAGCAUAGUGAGCAAGACAAACUUGAUGGAUAAUAAGAUCAUGAGUGUAGCAUUUAAAACAUUUGUCAGAUCAGAUCGCUCAACCUAAUGGAAAGAUAAUCUAUCUAUAUUUAUGUUUUUUUAUAUAUCUUCCAAAGAUUGAGUGUGCAACAUUUUAGCUCAUAUGAUUAGGAGUGUGGGAUCACAAAGGUGGAAGGACUAAACAUGUUGAAUCGAUUGGGUUGGUUAAUCUAGAGUUGUAAUUCAUACAUGUUUGUCUCUUUUGUGAAUGCCAGAACCAAGGAGAAGCUUAUAAAAAGUGAUAGUCAAGUACCUUAAGAUGUUACCUUACUUGAAGAGUGAUGGUACAGUAUCACCUUGUGGAAGCUUUCCUUUCUUAGCGGCUGUGCACCGUGUUUGUGGCACCCUCCAUGGAUCAUCUCUUGUGAGCUAUGCCAUCCUUGUGUAAAUUGUUAACCUUGAUGCGUCUCUCUCUUUGUCACCAAUGUGAGUUUAUCUCAGGACUUCCCAGGUCGAUAUUGAAAGUUUUCCUGCAGGGGUUAGUCCAACAAAAUAUCUAAUAUCUACUAUAGCAUACUAUCGGCUCAAAGAUCAACCUAGACACCAUGUCUAAUUUGAUUUAGGAGGGCAUUUUAACCUAAGCACCAUGCUUAAUUUAAAAUCCCUUGGAAGUAAGAUCAACAUUCCUAACUAAGCACCAUGCUUAAUUAAGAGAUAAAUGAAACUACUCCAAACCAUAUAUACUAAAGCAA
rnacentral:lncRNA from 1 species